GACGAACGCUGGCGGCGUGCUUAACACAUGCAAGUCGAACGCGCCUGUCCUCUGGGUUUCUGGGGGGUGGGCGAGUGGCGAACGGGUGAGUAACACGUGAGUAACCUGCCCCCUUCUUCGGGAUAACGGUCUGAAAGGGCUGCUAAUACCGGGUAUUCACUGGUCUCCGCAUGGGGUCUGGUGGAAAGGUUUUUUUCUGGUGGGGGAUGGGCUCGCGGCCUAUCAGCUUGUUGGUGGGGUGAUGGCCCACCAAGGCUUUGACGGGUAGCCGGCCUGAGAGGGUGACCGGUCACAUUGGGACUGAGAUACGGCCCAGACUCCUACGGGAGGCAGCAGUGGGGAAUAUUGCACAAUGGGCGCAAGCCUGAUGCAGCGACGCCGCGUGAGGGAUGGAGGCCUUCGGGUUGUGAACCUCUUUCGCCCGUGGUCAAGCCGCGACGUGGGUCGUGGUGAGGGUAGUGGGUAAAGAAGCGCCGGCUAACUACGUG
rnacentral:rRNA from 1 species